UUCCGGUUGAUCCUGCCGGAGGUCACUGCUAUUGGGAUUCGACUAAGCCAUGCGAGUCGAGAGGGUUCGGCCCUCGGCAGACUGCUCAGUAACACGUGGAUAAUCUGCCCUUAGGUGGAGGAUAACCUUGGGAAACUGAGAAUAAUACUCCAUAGAUCUAAGAUGCUGGAAUGCACUUAGAUUAAAAGCUCCGGCGCCUGAGGAUGAGUCUGCGGACUAUCAGGUUGUAGUCAGGGUAAGGACCUGACUAGCCUACAACGGAUACGGGUUGUGAGAGCAAUAACCCGGAGACGAUAUCUGAGACACGAUAUCGGGCCCUACGGGGCGCAGCAGGCGCGAAACCUUCACAAUGUGCGAAAGCGCGAUGAGGGGAUCCCAAGUGCUUGCACUUAAGUGUAAGCUGUUUCUUUGUUUAAAACGCAGAGAGAGGAAGGGCUGGGUAAGACGGGUGCCAGCCGCCGCGGUAAUACCUGCAGCUCAAGUGGUGACCGCUAUUAUUGGGCCUAAAACGUUCGUAGCCGGCUGAGUAAAUGCUUGGGUAAAUCGUGCCGCUUAACGGUACGAAUUCCGGGUAGACUGCUCAGCUUGAGACCGGGAGAAGCUAGAGGUACUCCUGGGGUAGAGGUGAAAUUCUGUAAUCCUGGGGGGACCACCAGUGGCGAAGGCGUCUAGCUAGAACGGGUCUGACGGUGAGGGACGAAACCCUGGGGCGCAAACCGGAUUAGAUACCCGGGUAGUCCAGGGCGCAAACGCUGCUUGCUUGAUGUUAGCUGGGCUCCGGGCUCAGCUAGUGUCGGAGAGAAGUUGUUAAGCAAGCUGCCUGGGAAGUACGAUCGCAAGAUUGAAACUUAAAGGAAUUGGCGGGGGAGCACAGCAACGGGUGGAGCGUGCGGUUUAGUUCAGUCAACGCCGGA
rnacentral:rRNA from 1 species